CAACUUAAUUGACGUACUUUUUCAAAAUAGACACACUGUCUUCCAAAAAGAAUACGGUUUGAGGUAGGACAGACGAAGCAUGAAAAACCGAAGGCCCAACAAAUACAACGUGGCCAGCCAAACGUACAAUUUCUUUCGAACUUCCAGAAAAUAGUUCAAUAGUGGAAACUGAAGCAUUUGAUUUAUUAAGAAUAAGCUCUGGAGCCUUUUCGUUAACCAACUCAUUUAUUCUGGCAUAAAACGCAUUACUUUU